GGGCAACUGGAGCAGUUGGGAGUAGCUAAGAGAGGUGUGCUUCACCAGCCAAAGGGGAGCACGAAAUUGCACUCUAUAAAUAAAGAGUUGCACACUCAUUCAAGGGAGAGGGCAGACACACAUUCACUUCAUCCAUUACUCUCAUACACACAUUCAGAUUCACCACAAAGAGAGAAGGGAGCUUGGAGCUGUCAAGGGAGCUUGGAGCUGUCCUGGGAACUUCCUUGCUGCCAUCAUCUAGUUCUUCUCCUCUCUUUAUCCUAUCUAUGUAUUUCUUAUUUUCUAUAUUCAUAGUUAUGUCUAACUAAUCCAUUUAGUUAGGGCUUAGGAUGAAGCCCUAGUCAUGAAUAUUCAAUGUUAUGGAUGAUUUUAUAGUUAAUUGAUUUCCUUGCUUUUAUUAUCAAGUUGUUAAUCUCCAGU
rnacentral:lncRNA from 1 species